AUGGAGUCGACCGGAGGAGAUCCGUCUGGAUUCGCCGCUGCGGCUUUACAUGCUUCUAGUGAUGUGAGCGAACAUGAAGAGAUUAAACCCGCUGAUGACAGCAACACCAUCUCAGACUAUGCCCAGGAACCAUUGAAUUUUUUUCCGGAGCAAGAAUCUAACGAUGCCAGUGUUAGUACAGAAAAGAAAGAGUCUGUCGUAUCCAAAUGCAAGUCGGUGGAAGAAAUUCCAAGAGAAGCAACCGUAAAAAGGUGCAAGAACAUCGAUUCCAAGAAGCUCUUCUCAAAUAACAAAAAUAGUCCAAGCCUCACUGGUAUUCAGGCUCUCAGAAAGCCGCCAAGAAAGGGGGCCCAUCCUAUUCAACUUCGUGAGAGCGAAAUGUUUCAAGACAAAAAGCCUCCUUCCACAUGGAUAUGCAAAAAUGCAGCCUGCAAAGCUGUGCUUACCUCAGAGAAUACAUUCUGCAAACGGUGUUCGUGUUGUAUAUGCCACCUUUUCGAUGACAACAAAGAUCCUAGCCUUUGGCUCGUCUGCUCAUCAGAGACUGGUGAUACAGAUUGCUGUGAGUCAUCCUGCCACGUUGAGUGCGCACUCCAGCGCCGAAAGGCAGGGCGCAUCGAUCUUGGGCAAUCUAUGCACCUAGAUGGUAACUAUUGCUGUGCUGCCUGCGGGAAGGUUAUUGGAAUACUUGGGUUCUGGAAAAGGCAGCUAGCGGUUGCUAAAGAUGCUCGUCGGGUUGAUAUUCUUUGUUCUCGUAUAUACCUAAGUCAUAGGCUUUUGGAUGGCACAACCCGUUUUAAAGAGCUGCAUCAGAUUGUACAGGAUGCAAAAGCAAAGCUGGAAACUGAGGUUGGUCCCCUUGAUGGGUCUUCUAAGAUGGCCCGGUGCAUUGUGGGCCGGCUUCCUGUUGCUGCCGAUGUGCAGAAACUUUGCUCUCUAGCAAUGGAGAAGGUAGAUGACUGGCUGCAGUCAAACACUCAAGCAGAAACUAAACAAAUUGAUACACUUCCUACUGCCUGCAGGUUUAGAUUUGAAGAUAUUACAGCUUCAUCAUUAGUGAUUGUUCUGAAAGAAACUGCUUCCUCGCAGUAUCAUGCUAUCAAAGGCUACAAGCUUUGGUACUGGAACAGCAGAGAACCGCCUUCCACUGGGGAGCCUGUUAUUUUCCCCGAAGACCAAAGAAGGAUAUUGAUUUCCAAUCUGCAGCCCUGCACGGAGUAUGCCUUUCGGAUCAUUUCAUUUGUUGAGGACGGUGAACUUGGCCACUCCGAGUCUAAGUGCUUUACCAGGAGUGUGGAGAUCAUGCACAAGAAUAUAGAGCACGGUGCAGAAGGUUGCUCGUCUACUGCCAAGAGAAAUGUCAAGAGGCACAAUGGCAGGUCGUCAGGCUUCAAGGUGCGCCAGCUGGGUAAAGUAUUACGGAGGGCAUGGGAAGAGGAUGGUUUCCCCAGUGAGUUCUGUAAAGAUGAGAUUGAAGAUUCCUGCGAUCAGAGUGAUUCAGUGAUACUAGAGAAGGGUCAAGUUGCACAUGUUAUUUCACGCAAACUCGAUCUUAAUGAAACCUCAGUCCCAGAUUUAAACGCUGAGGUAGUCAUGCCAACAGAGUGCCUCCGAAAUGAGAACGCGUAUAGUUCAGGAAAGAAUGAUUUGAGGAAGUCCAAUGGCUGUGGUGAUUUCGCGACCUGCACCGAGGGGCAUGUCGGCGAGGCACCUGCAAUGGAAUCCCGAUCACAAAGUCGAAAGCAGACAUCAGACUUGGAGCAGGAAACCUGUGCGGAGGAUGGCAAUUUGGUCAUCGGUUCACAGAGGCACUUCUCCCGUAGGUUAGGUGAGCUAGAUAAUAACUAUGAGUACUGUGUGAAGACUAUUCGAUGGUUGGAAUGUUGUGGCCACAUCGAGAAAGAAUUUAGGAUGAGAUUUCUAACCUGGUUUAGCCUGAGAUCGACGGAGCAGGAGCGGAGGGUUGUCUUGACCUUUAUCCGCACCCUCGUUGACGAGCCAGGUAGUUUGGCAGGGCAGCUCCUGGAUUCAUUUGAAGAAAUUGUUGCCAGUAAAAGGCCAAGGACUGGUUUCUGCACUAAGCUAUGGCACUAA
rnacentral:rRNA from 1 species